rnacentral:rRNA from 1 species
GACGAACGCUGGCGGCGUGCUUAACACAUGCAAGUCGAACGGUGACCCAGGGCUUGCCCUGGUGAUCAGUGGCGAACGGGUGAGUAACACGUGGGCAACCUGCCCCUGACUUCGGGAUAACUCCUCGAAAGAGGAGCUAAUACCGGAUACGACCACUUCGGACAUCCGAUGGUGGUGGAAAGUUUUUCGGUCAGGGAUGGGCCCGCGGCCUAUCAGCUAGUUGGUGGGGUAAUGGCCUACCAAGGCGACGACGGGUAGCCGGCCUGAGAGGGCGACCGGCCACACUGGGACUGAGACACGGCCCAGACUCCUACGGGAGGCAGCAGUGGGGAAUAUUGCGCAAUGGGCGAAAGCCUGACGCAGCGACGCCGCGUGAGGGAUGAAGGCCUUCGGGUUGUAACCGUCCUUCAGCAGGGACG